rnacentral:rRNA from 1 species
UACGUAGGUGGCAAGCGUUGUCCGGAAUUAUUGGGCGUAAAGCGCGCGCAGGCGGUCCUUUAAGUCUGAUGUGAAAGCCCACGGCUCAACCGUGGAGGGUCAUUGGAAACUGGGGGACUUGAGUACAGAAGAGAAGAGUGGAAUUCCACGUGUAGCGGUGAAAUGCGUAGAGAUGUGGGGAACACCAGUGGCGAAGCGACUCUUGGUCUGUAACUGACGCUGAGCGCGAAGCGUGGGAGCAACAGG